UAACAAUAAAUUAUUUGUUCAAUGAAUAAUAUAUAUUUCGAAUGGAAAAAUACAAAUGUAAACAAAUAAAUAAUUAUUAAUAAUAAUAAUAAUAACAAUAAUAAAUAAACAAACAAAUAUAUAGAUAUAAAUAUAUAAUUAUUAUUAUUAUGAGAGGAAGCGAUAAGGUUUAAUAUAUAUAUAAGGAAAUAAUAACAACCAUCAGGUAUCGAUGUGAUGAUGACUCGUCAUACUGAAAACUCCCAACCAAUCAGCAGCAACAAAAACAAAGCCCCCAAUGGGUGUAUAUACCGGCACAUUUCUAAGACCCAGUCAGUCUUUCAUUUCAUCUUCAACCGUCAACAAGUACCAGUUUUCAAGAACUUCAACCAAUAGUGACCGUAGAUUAGAAGACCAACACCAAGCAUCGCCGACGCUGCCCGCUGCCGCAUAACCUAAACGAGCACGAAGACUCAGUUUACAUCGACGAACAUUACGACGCCGACUGCAUAACGUCGAUACAGCGAGAUAACUGCAGCCGAGGUCAGCCAAUAGCCAUCAGUACGAUCUGCGACUCGGCGAUCACCAACGACUACGAGUACAUGACUUAAAUCCGUAUCAUCACUAGUGAUGGGCAUAAUCGAAAGCACACACUGGGUACGGUAGUCCACCACCUCGACGCCCAGGAACACCGGAAUCGACGGACGCGACGAAAUCAAGCCGCCCACAGUAUCAGAAGAUUAGCUGGACCAAACACCGUGCAGCACACCGCACGAUAAUCGCCGCCGACCUCAUUCUCCCUCCCCCUCACGGCCACUUGCUUGAGUACCGCCGUCCCGAACUCCUUUCCACCGAGUAUAGUAGCCGCUUAUUUGAGCUACGCGCUAACGGUGGGGGACUCCGUCCCUGAAUGUACCUCGAACAUCAUCAUACCUUCAUCAUAUACUAGGACUGGGACGUAGAACAUCGUCGGUCGACUAUACGAGCUCUCACCGCGUCGGCCCGCUUGCUUGAGCCUGUCAUCUCACUCUGUAAAAAUAUAUUAUAUUGUUUGUACAUACAAUAUAUAACGAGACGUGAUACCUACAA